rnacentral:rRNA from 1 species
ACUCCUACGGGAGGCAGCAGUGGGGAAUUUUGCGCAAUGGGGGAAACCCUGACGCAGCAACGCCGCGUGAGUGAUGAAGGCCCUUGGGUCGUAAAGCUCUGACAGAGGGAAAGAAAUGUGGGUGGCUAAUAUCCAUUCCACUUGACGGUACCCUCAAAGGAAGCACCGGCUAACUCCGUGCCAGCAGCCGCGGUAAUACGGAGGGUGCGAGCGUUGUUCGGAUUUAUUGGGCGUAAAGCGCGUGUAGGCGGUUUUAUAAGUCUGAUGUGAAAGCCCCGGGCUCAACCUGGGAAGUGUAUUGGAUACUGUAAGACUUGAAUACGGGAGAGGGCAGUGGAAUUCCUGGUGUAGGAGUGAAAUCCGUAGAUAUCAGGAGGAACACCGGUGGCGAAGGCGGCUGCCUGGACCGAUAUUGACGCUGAGACGCGAAAGCGUGGGUAGCAAACAGGAUUAGAUACCCUGGUAGUCCACGCUGUAAACGAUGAGAACUAGGUGUUGCGGGUA